UCACGGCACACAAAAUCCGUCCAGCCUGCCCAGAUAUGUUGUUCUUCAAUUCUUAACCGCUUUGUUUUACUUCUGACACAUUAAUUUUAAAUUUUAAUGUAGAUUUCCUAUGACUUCUUACGUUUGUUACAAUUAGACUCCCAUGUCAAUUUUCAUGAGACUUCUCAGUGUUAGAUAAAUUGUGUACCUUCGGAUAUUUAUCGCAAGCAGUAAACUUCUUCUACUCGAUUGAUUUUAAUUUUUUUGCCUUGGAUGUCAUUGAAACUGGAAACUUAAAGUUUUGGUGUGAAACCGCGCGGCUACUGGGCAGAUUCUUUCUCCUUUGUUAAUUGGAGAAAUUUUUUCAACGGAAGUUGAAACUUUUCUAUGAUUUAAUUGAAGAAUUUUUGCAAAGACGUGUUACGUCCCGUAUUUUUAUACAUUGGAACAACCCGGAUUAAAUAUGAUAAUUUAAGGCCAAGAUUAUUCCGGGAUUUGAAGUCGGGACUUUUGACCAUUUGAUUUUAUUUUGAGACACAAAUUAUAUAUGAAAUUGAUGGCAUUGAACACUUAGGGAAAAUUGGGACCACAAUUCAUAAAAUUGGGAUUAAAAAUCUUGUGCAAAAAGGGCCAUGUGGCCGUGUGAAUUUAAAGGGGUCCCCACAUUGUGUGGCCAAAUUUAAUUGGUCCAACACAUGUGUGGACCAUAGGGACAUGGAGAUAUUUUAGUGGGAACUUAAAAAUAUGACCUCUAAGUCAUUUCUCUUCAUUUCUACACUUAGAAUAAAAAUUAAGAAGGAGGAGAACAACAACUCCAACCUCACGGCUAAGAGGAGAGAAAAACAAGAUCAUUUUUUUGCUUUCCAAAAAUCAAUUCCUUGGUGUUAACCCACUAUAUUGAAGUCCCUAAGUAGCGUGGAAGAGUUGUUUGGGCCAUCCAACCACUAGUUGUGCCCAAUUGCAAACCCUAACUAUUGAAGGAAGUGAAGAACAAAGACCUUGGGGAGCCCGAGAGGUAAAUUUGGAGUAGCUUUAGAUUGGCUAGCUUGGGAGUGCGUUCGAGGUACAGACGCACAGUUCGGUGAUCCCCCAGUUUAGGAUAUCCCCUUCAGCUGUUUGGAGUGCUCUUCUCAUUUCAGAGCAUACACUUUUGGUAUAUACUUUUGUUCGUUAUGUAUGUAUAUAUAUUUGUUCCGGGUACGGCGGGGCCCUGUUCCGCCAUAUGAUUCGUUUGGUCUGUUUAGAGGUCUGUAGACUUAUUUGUGGGUGUGUGUGCCUACUACUGUACAGUUGUGUCCAUAUGAUCUCUUUCGUUAUGGCAGCCUUGUCGGCUCGCACAUGUAUAUGUUGUUCUGUUGGCCCUGUGUGGCCUUUGUUGGUAUUUGCUGUGUACAGGGUUAUUUUGGAUAAUCCGAAAAACAAAGGAAACUCUGUCGAAAUUUUCUUUGAAAAUCUUAUAAAUUUGAAACACCGCCUUGUCGGCUUCUGUUA